UAUAAGGUGCCUGAUUAAAGGAUAAUUUUGAUAGAAUUAAUAAUGUGAACUCUCACCCUUAUAA
rnacentral:tRNA from 1 species